AGCUUGCUGGUGUGGAUGAGUGGCGAACGGGUGAGUAAUACGUGAGUAACCUGCCCUUGACUCUGGGAUAAGCCCGGGAAACUGGGUCUAAUACUGGAUGCUACAUGUCACCGCAUGGUGGUGUGUGGAAAGGGUUUACUGGUCUUGGAUGGGCUCACGGCCUAUCAGCUUGUUGGUGAGGUAAUGGCUCACCAAGGCGACGACGGGUAGCCGGCCUGAGAGGGUGACCGGCCACACUGGGACUGAGACACGGCCCAGACUCCUACGGGAGGCAGCAGUGGGGAAUAUUGCACAAUGGGCGAAAGCCUGAUGCAGCGACGCCGCGUGAGGGAUGACGGCCUUCGGGUUGUAAACCUCUUUCAGCAGGGAAGAAGCCACAAGUGACGGUACCUGCAGAAGAAGCGCCGGCUAACUACGUGCCAGCAGCCGCGGUAAUACGUAGGGCGCAAGCGUUGUCCGGAAUUAUUGGGCGUAAAGAGCUCGUAGGCGGUUUGUCGCGUCUGCUGUGAAAGCCCGGGGCUUAACCCCGGGUGUGCAGUGGGUACGGGCAGACUAGAGUGCAGUAGGGGAGACUGGAAUUCCUGGUGUAGCGGUGGAAUGCGCAGAUAUCAGGAGGAACACCGAUGGCGAAGGCAGGUCUCUGGGCUGUUACUGACGCUGAGGAGCGAAAGCAUGGGGAGCGAACAGGAUUAGAUACCCUGGUAGUCCAUGCCGUAAACGUUGGGCACUAGGUGUGGGGGACAUUCCACGUUUUCCGCGCCGUAGCUAACGCAUUAAGUGCCCCGCCUGGGGAGUACGGCCGCAAGGCUAAAACUCAAAGGAAUUGACGGGGGCCCGCACAAGCGGCGGAGCAUGCGGAUUAAUUCGAUGCAACGCGAAGAACCUUACCAAGGCUUGACAUAUACCGGAUCGUUCCAGAGAUGGUUCUUCCCCUUUUGGGGUCGGAAUACAGGUGGUUG
rnacentral:rRNA from 1 species